UUUAAUGAAAGUCUACUUAUUAAAGAGUCUCUACCGUCUUUCACCAUAUAUGUUUGACAGACUUAAUGUUUAAAAUAAUGGGUCUAAAUUUUGCUUUUGUAUAUUCUUAGGUUUACCAUAGUUACUUUUGGCCAUUGGAAUGGACGAUUCCGUCAAGAGAUAACAACAAAUGUUAUGCAAAAAUAAUCUGUAAUACUAAAGACAAUGAACGUGUUGUGGGCUUUCACGUACUGGGUCCAAAUGCUGGAGAAGUUACACAAGGCUUUGCAGCUGCGCUCAAAUGUGGACUGACCAAAAAGCAGCUGGACAGCACAAUUGGAAUCCACCCUGUCUGUGCAGAGGUAUUCACAACAUUGUCUGUGACCAAGCGCUCUGGGGCAAGCAUCCUCCAGGCUGGCUGCUGAGGUUAAGCCCCAGUGUGGAUGCUGUUGCCAAGACUGCAAACCACUGACUCGUUUCCGUGCCCAAAUCCAAGGCGAAGUUUUCUAGAGGGUUCUUGGGCUCUUGGCACCUGCGUGUCCUGUGCUUACCACCGCCCAAGGCCCCCUUGGAUCUCUUGGAUAAGAGUUGGU
rnacentral:sRNA from 1 species